rfam:Salmo salar isolate Sally breed double haploid chromosome ssa18, whole genome shotgun sequence.
UGUAUUCACUACUGUAAGUCGCUCUUGAUAAGAGCGUCUGCUAAAUGACUAAAA